GAGACAGCAGUCGCCGCGGGAAUACGUAGGUGGCAAGCGUUGUCCGGAAUUAUUGGGCGUAAAGGGCUCGCAGGCGGUUUCUUAAGUCUGAUGUGAAAGCCCCCGGCUCAACCGGGGAGGGUCAUUGGAAACUGGGAAACUUGAGUGCAGAAGAGGAGAGUGGAAUUCCACGUGUAGCGGUGAAAUGCGUAGAGAUGUGGAGGAACACCAGUGGCGAAGGCGACUCUCUGGUCUGUAACUGACGCUGAGGAGCGAAAGCGUGGGGAGCAAACAGGAUUAGAUACCCCAGUAGUCCCUGUCUCUUAUAA
rnacentral:rRNA from 1 species